rnacentral:rRNA from 1 species
CCUACGGGUGGCAGCAGUGAGGAAUAUUGGUCAAUGGACGCAAGUCUGAACCAGCCAUGCCGCGUGCAGGAAGACGGCUCUAUGAGUUGUAAACUGCUUUUGUACUAGGAUAAACGCAGAUACGCGUAUCUGUCUGAAAGUAUCGUACGAAUAAGGAUCGGCUAACUCCGUGCCAGCAGCCGCGGUAAUCCGGAGGAUUCAAGCGUUAUCCGGAUUUAUUGGGUUUAAAGGGUGCGUAGGCGGUCGUUUAAGUUAGAGGUGAAAUCCCGAGGCUCAACCUCGGAAUUGCCGCUGAUACUGGUAGGCUUGAGAGUAGUUGCGGUAGGCGGAAUGUAUGGUGUAGCGGUGAAAUGCUUAGAGAUCAUACAGAACACCGAUUGCGAAGGCAGCUUACCAAGCUACGUCUGACGUUGAGGCACGAAAGUGUGGGGAGCAAACAGGAUUAGAUACCCGUGUAGUC